UAGAGAAUAGGCCUCACUAUGUUGCCCAGGCUAGUCUUGAAUUCCUGGGCUCAAGCAAACCACCUGCCUUAGCCUCCCAAAGUGCUGUGAUUACACAUGUGAGCCACUGUGCCCAGCCUAGAGGUAAGUGUCUUCUAAUGGAAACAAAUAAAUAGCUAGUGCCCUUAUAAUUAUGCUGAAGUAAAAUAAGCCUGAGAGAGAAAAUAACCUAUCUGGAAUCAAAUUAUUACGUGCAGUGUGGACAGUGUGGAUAUAGAAUUUGAUUAAACAUUUAAAUGAGCAUUUAAGAAAAUAACUAAAAUGUAAUUUUGAAGGGAAUUUUAAACAACCUCAUAUUUCACUGGAAUUGUUAAUCCUCCUGUCUUCACAUUUUAAAGGCUGAAUUAUUAAACAUUAUAAUAAUAUCUUAGUCACCUUAAGUGUCAAAUAAAUUACUUAGAGAAGUGAUCUGAGACUUUCAGUGAAUCAUUAAAGACUCCUUUUUUUGUGACUUAGUCCCUUCUCUCUGGAACAAAAUAACAUAUAUUUUGAUACAACACAUUGUUAAAAUCAGAAAAAAAUUGUUUUAAGUUUCUUCAACUUUUGAAUAAAUUUUAUUUGAAGUAGUUUUUGAGUACAAAAACAUUAAGAAGAUAGUAGAGAGUUCCCAUAUACUACUCUACAAAGUUCUUUCCA
rnacentral:lncRNA from 10 species